rnacentral:rRNA from 1 species
AUUGAACGCUGGCGGCAGGCCUAACACAUGCAAGUCGAACGAGUGGCGGACGGGUGAGUAAUGUCUGGGAAACUGCCUUAUGGAGGGGGGUAACUACUGGAAACUGUAGCUAAUACCGCAUACCAUCGGAUGUGCCCAGGUGGGAUUAGCUAGUUGGUGGGGUAACGGCUCACCAAGGCGACGAUCCCUAGCUGGUCUGAGAGGAUGACCAGCCACACUGGAACUGAGACACGGCCCAGACUCCUACGGGAGGCAGCAGUGGGGAAUAUUGCGCAAUGGGGGCAAGCCUGAUGCAGCCAUGCCGCGUGAAUGAAGAAGGCCUUCGGGUUGUAAAGUACUUUCAGCGAGGAGGCGUUAAUCGCAGAAGAAGCACCGGCUAACUCCGUGCCAGCAGCCGCGGUAAUAC